GCAUACUCUUGACCGUCUUCUUUGAAUACUAGUUCUCUUUUUUCCGAUUCAUUCUCAUUCUUACCUCUACGUCUGUUUUUACCUCCUUUACCUUUAUUCUUGGGCAUGGCGGUGGCAGCGACCUCGCAGCGUCUCUAACUUCUUUCCGGGUGGCGGCGGUCGCUGCUCCGAAGGGCGACACGAGAGAGAGCGCAGGAUGAAGCAGGUGCUGGAGGCCAGGCAGCGUGCGCGGGAGAAGCUCGCGACCUAGGUCUUAACCGCCAGCGUCCACGCUCAGCAACAGCAAAUGGCGUCGUCCGACUUAGCUUUUCAACAUCGAAGGGAAUAGUGAAAGUUAAGUUUUGGAGAAGAAAAGAGAUGUGAAACAAUAUCCUGGAACCAGCCUCUUAAUUGUAGAAGACCAAUAUCAUCUGAAGAAAACAAAAUGUCUGACUUCCCAAAGGAAAAUUCUGAAAGGAGCUUGAAGGCAUCUGUAAAGAAGAAAUAUGUCACCUAUAAAGUGGGAAAAGAGUUCGGUUCUCCAGACAUUCCAUGAAUUCUGUGAGCUAUGCAAGAUCUUUCUGAUGUAUACCUUUUUUGCUCAACUUAACCAUUAUUGUUUCUGUUGUCUGCAAUCAAGAACACUGUCUGCCCAGCAUAUUUUUAAAGUGUUCCAUUACUUUGUGUGUUGUGUUGUGUUGUUUCAUCUGAGGGAUGUGGAGCAUGGAGGGUGGGCAGGGAUGGUGUCAGGUAGUUGAAAGACUUCUUUAGGUUUUGAUAUCCUGACAAAGAGAACUGUAUCACAUGAAUGCUCAAUAAACGGUGACAACUCUAUAAUUGAUUGAGAUUC
rnacentral:lncRNA from 13 species